rnacentral:lncRNA from 1 species
AUCCCUUCUCUUCGAUUUAAUAAUUAUUUAUCAUAAUUUUUCAAAAUAAGCUCUUGAAAGUAUGAAAAAUAUAUGCUUAAAUUUUUUAUUUUUAUAAAUCUUAUUUAUUUUAAAAAUUUUUACUUGUUUUAUUUUUUGUUUAAAAUAACAAUAAUAUAUGUUAGUAGAUAUGCAUCUGCAUAUGGCACAUGGAAUACGGACCAUGUGGUAUCCCAAAUGCCAGCAUGGUACGGCUUCAUUUUUAGAACCUUGUAAAUAAACAAAUGCUGUUGGUCCUUCAUUAGGUUGCAACAACCU